rnacentral:tRNA from 1 species
CAGAUAGCUCAGUUGGUAGAGCAGCGGACUGAAAAUCCGCGUGUCGCUGGUUCGAUUCCGGCUCUGGG